rnacentral:pre_miRNA from 1 species
UCUAACGUUUGACCAUUCGUCUUAUUUAAAAUUUUUUUGCGAUUAAUAUUUUUAUUGUUACUAGAUGAUAAAAUAUAAAUAGUAUUUUAUACGUGACAAUUUUUUAAAAUUUUUUAUAAAUUUUUAAAUAAAACGAAUGGUCAAACGUUGGACACGAAAA